rnacentral:snoRNA from 1 species
GCAUGGUAACGGAUUUAUGGCGGGCCCUUCUCUGUGGGCCUCUCAUAGUGGACCCAUGCCAGAGUAACCUGCAGCCUCGAACCAUUGCCCAGCCCCUUACCUGUGGGUUGCGAGCACUGAAGGGGGUUGUACAGUG